AGAGUUUGAUCCUGGCUCAGAUUGAACGCUGGCGGCAGGCCUAACACAUGCAAGUCGAGCGGUAGCACAGAGAGCUUGCUCUCGGGUGACGAGCGGCGGACGGGUGAGUAAUGUCUGGGAAACUGCCUGAUGGAGGGGGAUAACUACUGGAAACGGUAGCUAAUACCGCAUAAUGUCGCAAGACCAAAGUGGGGGACCUUCGGGCCUCAUGCCAUCAGAUGUGCCCAGAUGGGAUUAGCUAGUAGGUGGGGUAACGGCUCACCUAGGCGACGAUCCCUAGCUGGUCUGAGAGGAUGACCAGCCACACUGGAACUGAGACACGGUCCAGACUCCUACGGGAGGCAGCAGUGGGGAAUAUUGCACAAUGGGCGCAAGCCUGAUGCAGCCAUGCCGCGUGUGUGAAGAAGGCCUUCGGGUUGUAAAGCACUUUCAGCGGGGAGGAAGGCGUUAAGGUUAAUAACCUUGGCGAUUGACGUUACCCGCAGAAGAAGCACCGGCUAACUCCGUGCCAGCAGCCGCGGUAAUACGGAGGGUGCAAGCGUUAAUCGGAAUUACUGGGCGUAAAGCGCACGCAGGCGGUCUGUCAAGUCGGAUGUGAAAUCCCCGGGCUCAACCUGGGAACUGCAUUCGAAACUGGCAGGCUAGAGUCUUGUAGAGGGGGGUAGAAUUCCAGGUGUAGCGGUGAAAUGCGUAGAGAUCUGGAGGAAUACCGGUGGCGAAGGCGGCCCCCUGGACAAAGACUGACGCUCAGGUGCGAAAGCGUGGGGAGCAAACAGGAUUAGAUACCCUGGUAGUCCACGCCGUAAACGAUGUCGAUUUGGAGGUUGUGCCCUUGAGGCGUGGCUUCCGGAGCUAACGCGUUAAAUCGACCGCCUGGGGAGUACGGCCGCAAGGUUAAAACUCAAAUGAAUUGACGGGGGCCCGCACAAGCGGUGGAGCAUGUGGUUUAAUUCGAUGCAACGCGAAGAACCUUACCUGGUCUUGACAUCCACAGAACUUUCCAGAGAUGGAUUGGUGCCUUCGGGAACUGUGAGACAGGUGCUGCAUGGCUGUCGUCAGCUCGUGUUGUGAAAUGUUGGGUUAAGUCCCGCAACGAGCGCAACCCUUAUCCUUUGUUGCCAGCGGUUCGGCCGGGAACUCAAAGGAGACUGCCAGUGAUAAACUGGAGGAAGGUGGGGAUGACGUCAAGUCAUCAUGGCCCUUACGACCAGGGCUACACACGUGCUACAAUGGCAUAUACAAAGAGAAGCGACCUCGCGAGAGCAAGCGGACCUCAUAAAGUAUGUCGUAGUCCGGAUUGGAGUCUGCAACUCGACUCCAUGAAGUCGGAAUCGCUAGUAAUCGUAGAUCAGAAUGCUACGGUGAAUACGUUCCCGGGCCUUGUACACACCGCCCGUCACACCAUGGGAGUGGGUUGCAA
rnacentral:rRNA from 1 species